ACCAGCAGCAGCUGUCGGCUCUGUUGAGUAUAGCUUGGUAGCAAUGACAAUGGAGCUGUGUAGAUUGGGAGUUGGAGGUCCGUGAUAUGAUGAAAUACCAACAGCAGUGGGGCAGUAGCCAGUGGCAACCUGGCUCUAGGCCUGUUUGUAUCAGCCAACACUUAUGAAUGAUGGCAAUGUGAAGAGAAGGCUUUUUGUUACAUACGUGUGUAGUCAUUGGAUUUGUGUCCAGGAAACUGCCUGGCCUACACUUUGCUGACUGGUCACGUUCCCAGUAAGUCUGCAGUCUCUUUUGACUUUAGGUCUCUCUAAGCCCUAGUGUAAUCCUUUCCUCAGAGUUACACCACUUUUUCAGAAGGCCUGAUCUUAUGGCCAGUGGAGUCCACUGAGGAUCUUUCUAACUUUUUGUGAGCUAUGGUCAGGCCCUAUAAGGCUGAGUUCAGUCUGCUGUCUGCAGGCAGAUUCUGCUAUCUACAAAAUCCCGAGGGCUGCAGCAGCUUCCCCAGCCAUGGUCUGCUAUAGAAGAGGAAUUGAACAGAAGGAUUUCUCUGCACGUUCUUCCCCCUGUGCCACAUGCUCGCUCCUGUUGUAACGUUCCUAAACAUUUGCUAUAUACAGCUCCGGUCCUGUCUGGGAUCGACCUGUGCUGGUUUUGCCCUCCUACGCUCAGUAGUGCUGCAUAGAGGCUGCUUCCUGUAGACCUGACAUAUCUAUGUAAUAAGGGCGGACAUUUAAACCCUAGCUGCAAAAAUGAACGCCAGUUUUGUAGCAGUACCUGCAUGAUUUCUGACAUAUCCUGAGAAUGAAUACAAGUCAUACCCAGGUUAACAUAAAUGUGUCUCACUCUCAUCUGGGAGGAGGAUUAGGUCAAUUUAGGCUAAUGGCUGCCAAAUAGCAGACAUGCAGAUACUCUUAAAUCAGUUUAAUUUAUGUCAGCCAGCCCUGACAAUUGGAAGAAAAGAUACAUAUACACAAAGUUUUCAAAGCUUGAGGUGUUAUGAUGCUAAUUGGAAGGUUACCAAAGGAAUCCUUCGGGAUGUGUGUGAAUCCUAGUGCAUGGGAUUAGUGGCUAAUUAGUGGCUGAGAGCUGGAGCGCACUUCUCCUAGCUAUCUCACACUGAGAACAGGUAGCUCGGCCCAUGCAAUCAACUCUUGCCCUUGAUAGGUGCAGUAAAGCCACUAUUGUGGGCAACAGAUGUGUGAUGAUAGGAAGACAGAAAUAGUGUCUGCACUGUAGCAGGCCCUCCAAACGUGCACAGAAGCAAUGCCAGAGAUACUGCUGUGUGGGUGGCUUGCUGUGUCCUGAGCCACAGCAAACAUACAGGCAUUUGAGAACUGAGUUCUUUCUUUUUAACGAAGGCACAAAUUUUGUUUUUGUGUUUUCUUGUGUUUUUCUGGCCUCUUCCAUGCCAUGUUUGCAGCACAUGACAGAACACACUCAGGAGGCCCUGAGCUUCAAACCCCGUUUUAGAUUCUGAAGUGCAGUGCAUACAGGCUACCACCCCCUUCCUUGCAUCAUGUUUAAGAAUCCUGACAUUUGAAAAAUAGAGGUUUCAUCUGUCUGUCAGUAUCUCAGUAUUUCCUUUGCAAGCUUUUCUCUGACAUCUGAAUGAGGCAUAAGAAUCAGAGAUUAGGAAAAAAAAUCUGAGAGCUUGGCCUUUAGGAAAAGUGAGACUUGAGAUAAAAAUUCAGGAAUUGUCACUGAUGCAUCAGUGAUACUGCUGAACUAAUCAGGGCUUUGUUUAAUUAGGCAUACGUCUAUUUUUCUGAAUUGUUUUGCACUCAUUUGGAAGCAUGCCUUGUAUAUUUUUCAUUUAAGAAAGUUGUUCUGUAAGUCAGAAGAGUUGCAUAUUUUCUUCCUUUCCCCACAUUUGCAUUUCUAAAUCUGAAGCGAGUGUAAACACAGCUUUAAGGUGAAACUGUUAUGCACCUGCUUUGAUUAAAUUAACCCGUAUUAAACCUUACAAAGACAUAGAGUAGCAACGCCAGGCUGGUUCACUUCUGAACAUUAUAGAAGCUAAGCAACUUUCUUCGCAUGUUACCAGUUCUCUAUUUGAGUAAUUUUGCUUGUCAGAUGUGGGAUAAUGUUAGAAGCCUAUGUUCGCAGUCAGUGACCUAGGACUACUUAAGCUUCCAGUUGUAGAGUCAGCUUUUCCAGCAAUCAGUUGAUUGGCACUUCCAGUCCAGUUUCCUUAAUCCUCCAGUCAACUAACCUCUUCUCCAGCUGCUGAAAAUACCUAGCACAUCCAUGAUCUCCCCAAUAAGACCUAAUUACAAAGCAGACAUACUUCAUGUAGCAGUAAUGUCAUUGUACCAGUGUGAUAUGGGAAGAGAUAAGGUUUGUAGGCAGUGCUUAUUCAAUCUUAUUCAAUCACUUACAUAGUUGGGAAAUGUAAUGCACUUUCAGGCAUUAAAGUUCUUCUACAGAUGAAAGAGAAACCUCAAACUUCAAGCUAGUCUAGCCCCUCUCAAAAAUCCCAUAGAGAGAAAAGAUGUGACAGCCCCAGCCAGUCAACUGUGCCGUUGAUAAGAGCAGUAACUUAUCUUGAAGGCAGAUCAUUCUGACUAGCUUGCAGGGCAGCCCUGAGAACCCAAGUGGUCCAGGAAUCUUAAUAGCCUAUAUGGAGAAACAGGUUCCUGAAGCCUUGCUCAUGGUUUGUCAAAUUAGGAAUGUUUCCAUGAGAGAUCCAGGAAAAAUCAACAUUUUCCAGCCAAGUUAUUUCCAACUGGUUCUAGGUGGUUUUUAGUAAUACAGCUAUCAGUUUUCACGUGAUGGUUUAAAUGGACAUCCUUUGCAUUAGUCAUCUUUUAAGCUAUCUUUUGUUUUGUGCUAAACAAAAUACCUGUGGGUACCAUUACUGAUGGCUUUGGGCACUACUGGACAGUAACAUAAGCAGCUAACAAGUGGAAGCUGGUCAAUGCAGUGACUAACACGGCAUGGGGAAUUAGGUGACAGUGCUACAGGCAGAAAGAUACUCCAUGUUGGAGCCUGGCAAGGAGCUAGGAGCAAAUAAAACAUCUGUUUAAUAGCCCAAGUACACUGUGAGGAAAAAAGGAGGAAGAAUCCCACAUCAAGUAUAUUCAGCUCAAUGGAGCUUGUGAAGGAACCUCUCUUUGUUUGAACAGCUUUUGAGAGAACUCUCCAGCCUGGCAGGCAGGUUCCCUCUGCCAAGGUGCUGCUUCCUAUUCAGAGCCACAAAACAAAACAUUUGCCCUUCCUGCUGGCAGACUCAGAAGACCCGCUCUUCCUUCCUUCCUGCCCCCUGCCAUGCUCUAGGUAUCUUGUGCUGCUGGAUGGUGGGUAGCAGGGCCAACACUCACCCUGCUUUUACACUUUCCAUCUUGAAGAGCUUUAGGUUUGUCUUCAUGUUCUUCGCUGUGCCCAUUUAAAGUCAAGGCUCGAUAAUGGUUGUCGGUCUAUGGGCUUCUCUUGGGGGAAUGACCUUGUCACAGGGGCAUCUUAAGCAGCUCCAAAUAUUCAGAUAAUGCAGGUGGGCACCAGCAGACCUCGAGCAGUCCAGCCAUCUCCCCAGCAUGAGGAGGAGGCUCUGAGAAAGCAGGGGGCAGGCUGCUGCCCUGCGUUUGCAGUCCUUGCAAUGGAAUAACUUCUGGAUGCUCCAUCAGAUCAGCUCCUGCAUCACUGAGAAGCUUUAUAGGGUGCAGUGGGCUCUGUGUGCAUGAGGCGAGAAAGGAGUUGUGGGGGGCCCUGAACUGGAGGAGGGGAAGGUGGCACAGAGCACAAGGCAGUGAAGUGGGAAAUGCAAUAAGCUCCUGCUCCUGAUGGCAGAAGGAGCAGGUAAGUGACUAAAGCUCUGCCAAAACAUUCUCAUUCCUUGCAGUUGUUUCAGCCUGCAUGUUUUCUUCAUUUAGGAGGCCUCUUGUGACCACUGUUGGUCUUUAAGACCAAAAUCUAACUUGCAGCUCUGCAAGAGGCCUGGACCAGUCCUGAACCCCUGCCAGCCAUCCUGUGGAAGACAGGACUCCCUUCCGUGGAGGACAUAGGAUCAGCACACUAAUCUCCAAAUGUCUUUCCUUUGUCACCAAGGGGCAGACGGUGAAAGAGAUUCUCCCCUGGCACAGGGAUGCAUUCUUUUGCAUUUCUCCUAUAAAGAAACUCAAGCAACUUCUCCUUCAUCUACCACUCACAUUUCUCAGCAGCUUGAGGGACAGGCAGGUCUGGUAAGGCCUGCCCGUCCAUUUGGAGAAAGUCAUUUCUUUCAUCCCUUUACAGGACAUCCUUUCUCUUGUGAUGUUUUCUUUACAGUAAAGAGAAGAAAAAGGAAGAAGGAACUAUAAAGAAGGGACUGAGAAGAUUUUAUAAUUCCUGUAGGAAUUUGUGCAUGGCACAUUGGAUCUGCAGGAGCCCAAAGCUGCAUUCAGCUCCAUGAAAUCUGAUAGCUCAGCUGUAGAUCUCAAGAUCUCUCCUUGUUUCUGAGCCAAAAUCCCUCACCAUUUAGAGAAGGUUGAAGUUGUGCAAGCAAAUCUGAUCUGAUGUUAGCUAAAAAAACCUAAAAAUCAGCUUAAACCACUAGCCUGUUCCAAAGCAAAGUGCUAAACCUCAAUCUGAAGCCUGUUAAGUUAAAAAAGUAUAUUUAAACCCUUUUUCAAAUAAAGUAUAAAAGUCGUUUCUCUUUUCAAGUGCUUUAACAACUGCAAAAUAAAAUUAAUUCAUAUUCUAAGACCACAUGUGGGAAAUCUGUAUAAUCUGGUUUAACUGGGGUAAAGCUGAGGUGAGACGCAAUCAAGCUUACCGUGAAGGCUAUCUGCAACUCUUGCGGAGAAAGAUUACCAUCUUGCUAGGGAGAUCAUGUUUCUGUUAUUAUCAAUAACAAUCUGGUUUAUACCAUUUACUCUCCCCCCUUUGUUUGUUAGAACAGCUGGAGGACUUCACUCGGUGAAGCCGUGAUGAGACUGAGUAUUGCUAUUUAAUCAGAAGUGUCAUCAGAUCAUAUCAUGGAUUGUAAGAACGUAGGUAUCAUGGUCCUUGUCCCAAAGCAGUUGCAGUCCAAGACAGAGAGUUAAUAAGAUGUAGGGUCAUAGUAAUGUAGGGACAUCUGUGCUAUUUUUAAUGUUGUGAUUUACAGCUGUAUUUUUGACAUAAACUCCAUUUUCUAUUUUAGUGCAUUUUGAUGUAGAAACAUAUGAAUUUUUACAGAUGGUACAGUAAGAGCAGGCUUGCCUUUCUGUGUGCAUUUAUGCAGAGGAAUAUCUUUUCUUUGAAAUUAGCCAGGAAGGAGCUUCACGAAGUAGCAGUUUGGUCAGAGACGAAUUCCCUUGCUGGCCUUUUCAGAAAGUGCCAGUAGUCUUCACAGAUUUGGCAAACAACAGCAUCAGACUGCUGCCCAUGCCCGUGUGCAGAGACCCUCCUGCUACUCACAAGCUGAUCUUGUUACGCUCUGUGGAGCAAGUCUGAACUGGAUGAAAUGAACAGGAAAUGCCAGUUCCAGCCCUUCCAAAUGGCUCCGGGCUACUUUGUGCACUAACUUUUUCAGCCUCAGGAGAUUUUACUUAUUAAUCCCUCACCAUCGACAAGCUACUUUUGGAUCAGUGUUGCACUGCCAAGAUCUUGGGAAGCCACCUCACCAGCGUGAUUUUGGAGACAUUAGCUACAGUGUGUUUAUUGGGCUGCCUGUUCUGCUCUCCUGUUUUGGUAGUCCUCUGCUCUCCUGCAGGUAUUGACACGUACAGGAAAGCUUCGUCACAAUAAACAAUAGCCAAACACGCUGUUUUUUUCCCGUCCAUCAAAGAUACCAUCAUACUUUUAAAUCGGUCCCGGUGAAAAUCAUCGGUGGGGCUGCAGAAAGGUCAAAGGUUUGCUGGUUUAAGAUUUCGUGGGAAUAUACGCUUGUUUGGACUUGGCCCAAGAGCUUAGUUUACCUGCUUGACAGGUAACAAUUAGAGAGUAAUAGCUUGGCGGGCUGGAAUGCGGCUGCGGAGGGCCGCGCGGCGCUGGGUUACCUGGUGGGCAGGUGUGGGUGCAGCGCCCAGAUAGGUAUGUGCAUGCACAGCAUUCCUGGGAAUCAGCUUUCCCUCAAAGAUGCAGCAAUGACUGCGGGGCACAAAAGGGCUGGGCUUAGCCCAGGCUCGAAGACGGUAAGCUUUUUGCAAGGUAAAGAAGUAAAGUAAAUAGUAGAAAAGAAGACAAGCUGACGGAAAGACUGUGAGAAGCAACUACCCCUUUUCUUUUUUGUCCGGGUAGAGGAGAGUUUCGCCUCUUUCCCUGAGAAUCUCCGAAGUGGAGUGCAAUUACAAUGUUGUGGGAGCUGAGAUAGGGUAGAGCAGAUUUGAGGGGAAGCAAGUGUGUGUCUAAAAGCUAUACUAACGGAUGGUCGGCAUGGCUCAGAAGGCUGCUGAAGGAGAGGUCUCUAAGGAUUUCAUUGUGGAUUGCUCCCCAGCAGCAGCCCUGCAGUAGGUAACAAGCACUGGCACAGUAGCAGAUAAAAGAGCUAGUAAGCUCACUUGCAUGGUGUAAAUGUGAAAUGGGGAAACCAUUUAUCAAUUGGUUUAGCAAUGGUUAAACAGCUUACGUGCAGUUACUCUCAACUCUGCUACUAGGAAGAAUCCAAGUGCUCAUGAGUUUAUCAAAAAAAAUGCUUUAUCGGUGGCAAACAGCCCCAUUUUCAGCUCUUACCAGCAGUCUGUGAAGUUUCCUGCAUCAGCCCCUCCAGACAGUCAAGUCCCUAGAGGGAAAUCUGUGGUAUAAAUUAUAUAGACAGGAACUUAGCAGGUGUUUUUAAAAUGUUUGAUAUUUCUUCAUCACAGCAGGCAACCCUUCUGUUCUAGCAACAGAAAGAUUUGCUCAUUCCUCUCAUAUUUUGUUCCCAUUCAUAAACAGGCUUUUGUGUUUGUGUAUUUCCAAUUACGUGUUUCAUACUUGACAAUUGAACUACUGUGUUACUUUGAACAACACACAUCUUCUUUCCCGGUCUCUGUAUUUUCACCUGUAGGGUUAGAGUAGUGAUCUCAUCUUGUACUCCAUGAGAGACAAGGAUGAUAAGUACUGCUAGUUAUAUAUACAUGUUAUUAUAGAUAUAUAUUUAUUUAUAUCACACAUUAAUUUAUUUGAACCUUAUUUCAUGAAGAUUACAAAGUAUUCUUUUACUUUUAACAAAAAUAAUGUCUUUAUUAUUUAUAAACUGCUUCUUGACCAAAAGUACUUUAUCCCUGGUCUACUAGUUGCUGUCAUUUGAGUAAGAAGAAAUCCAAGUAUAAUUAGAGAUGGUUUCCCUUGAUUUUAAAGGACUCAGCAUCAUUGAACCAUUCAGCAGUAUUUGUACACUGCUAUGUAGUAUGAUCUUCAUUAAGAGGUAGUCUCUUUGCUCAAUAGUAUAUGGGCCAAUAAAUGGUCAUUAAGCGUGGUUAUUAGCUGAUGCAAUAGUGAGGUUUGUAUUUGUUCUCACAAACUCCUCGCGAAUUUGUGUCACAAGUACAAGCAAGUACUACAAAAGCACAAAGAUAUUUCUGUUUGCACAUGCUGGACCAAAACAAAGCAAAAAUACAACCCUCUCUCCAAAAGUGCUGCUGUCCUCUGGCCACAGCAGCGCCCUCCGUUAACGCGGGUUCCGGCGCAAGCCACAGAGACCUGGAGAGGGGAGUGUCCCGUGUCACUCACCCACCGGCUGGCAGAGACGCAGGAGCACGCAGCAGCCCCAGUCCUGCCACAGCGGCACCCCCAUUCUGCUCCUGGGCUCUGCGCUUUCCUCCUUGUAUAUCCAGCCCCCCCUCAGGGAAAGCGGGGAGGAGGAGCAACCUGGAAAAAGGAAUAUGGAGUGUGAAGAACCUGUGUCAAAUGAAUGCUGUGACUUGUCCAGGGUCUUCCAGGCUUCCUCACUGUGGCUUCUCCAGUGACUGCCAUAAUGCUUCUUAUUCAGCGAGCGCAGAAGUCCGUGGGAGUCUUUCAGUAGUCAUCAGCGAGGUUUGGGAGCCCUGCCUGGGGGACGGUGGAGAGACCGCUUUUGGCUGAGAUCCAGGCCAGCCCGGAGCAUGAGCAGGCGCCAGUCGGAAGGCACAGGGAGAGAUGCCUCCUCCUUGCAGAAGACUUGGUUUGUUCUCAAAAAGGAUCAGUAAAGUCAUUUUCCUCCCUUUGCCUCAGUUUUUGACUUUAUAAAGAGAGGACGAUUAUUAUCAUUUACUACAUAAAAAGGCAUGCAGGGAGGUUUAAUACCGUACUGUCUCCAAGAGCAGAUACCAGAUGCUAUGGAGUCUCAGAAGUACAAAUUUUCUAAAGAAAAGAUUGUAUCCUUGUCACAAAGGAAAAAUAAAUUAUGUGUUUUUAAAUGAUGUCACCACUCCACUCUUGGAAUAUCAUGUUAAAAUGCAACUUGUAAUUAUGUUGCAAAUAUUAAGCUGAAAGAGUCAAAAAUAUUCAAGCAAUUCAACCUAAAAGGAAAGAUGUAAUGGUGGAGCUGACCCAAGAAACAGGAGUGUGAGUCUGGCCUAUUCGUAGGCUACUGAAGUUGUGAUUGCUAAUGAACCAGAGCACAACUAAGCAUGGGCUGUCAGUGAGAGAACUACGUGACCCUGUCCAGAAAUCCGUCUGCCUCUGUCCCAUCCCACCCUGUCCCAGCCAUAACACUGAGAGAGGAGCAAGAGAGAAGCAUGGCCUGAAGGAAGAUGGAUGUUUUUGCAAACUAUUAGUGGCAUAACAGUAUUUCUGUCAGGAAGGAGGAGUGAACUUCUUAAUGCUUUUCUGUUGGAGCCAGGAAAAUAAUAAUAAAAAAAUCACCGAGUGCUUUGGGUAAUAUUCAGCACUUCUGUCAACACUAUCCAAAUUACCAGAAUACUUACCAUAGGGGCAAACCUUGGGAAAUCACGUCAAGUGUUCAGUAAUCAGUGAUCUCAUAGUUUUUCUUAUUUGAGCAGUAUGAGAUGAAAGCCUCCUACAAAGCCUCAGCAGACAGCUGGCAUGAUCCAGCCUGUUUCCCUCAAUGGCUGAAAUAAGUCAUGGCAGACAUUUAAAUAAAAUCUCCCUCCAAAUGUACAAUUACCUUUGGAACCACAGCAGAGGAUGGGAUAAUUAGGUUGUCCCUAUGAUGGGCAGCCAUCACAGACUUCUCCCACAGUCAUGGAAAGAGCCUGCAUCUGAGCUACCAGCAGUGUCCAGUAUUGCCCCUUCUCCAUCCAGCUGCAAAAUUCCACAAAAUGGGAGUGUCAGAGGAGGUGACGCUUCAGCCACCCUGUCCUCUGGCUGAGCUGGACUGAGAAGCAAUCAGACACAACCUGCAGCUGGACCCUUAUAUCCUGAGAAGCAAUGCAAGUCAUAAAAGCUGCCUUGUGGGGUGUUAUAAAAAGCACCUCAGCUAUUUCUCACAGCUUUCACGGUUUCAUUCUCUCAUUACGGAUAGCUCUACCGGUAUCAUCCUCACUCUCGAAGGGCCAGGCUUUUACCAAUCAGCAUCACAGUGCUCACAGCUGCAUCUCAGCAGGUCCCAGCCCAGGGUGAGCUUUCCCAGAGAUGCCACGAGGCGACUUUGGUGCCUCGAAAUGGGACUCGCCCCUCAGCACACUAGUGGGGAGGACACUUGAUGCAGUCCAGAUAAAACACAGAGAGGGACCUGCCUUAAAUCUGUCUCUCUGGGGAAGUUGGAUGCCUCCCUCUGCUCAGCCUGAAGCAGUGCCUCUAAAUCUGCAGUUCACUACCUCCUCCUUCCCAGGCGUUCACAGCAGUUUUAAGCAAUGUUCACAGGACACAGCUUUCGGACUUACAGACACAACCUGCUACCAAGUGAUGUUGAAGUAAUUGGGAGGUGCUCCGCUUUCCACCCUGGCCUGCACAUCCCCCUCAGGAUACCUGUUCUGCGGUGGCUUGGCAGUGGCUGCCUUUGCUAGUUCUGGUUGCGCCGUGGCCUGGGAUUGGCCACUCCGAUGGGGUUAACAUCUGCUGCAGACUUGCUCAGGCAAACGGCUGAGUCAGAGCCCUGCAUCUUCUGGCUUCUUUCUGGAGAACGUUUCACCUCCGCUUCGCAGGAUGGCUCUGUGACCAGGGGCUACUCACUGUGACUACCUGCAACCACAUUUUCCCUGUGCAUACAACACUACUUUCAUAUGGUGGUGGCUGUUACUGAGACCCCACCUCAUGCUGAGAUUUUUGAUUUUUCUGUCUCUGUUAACCUGCAAAUCCUCAGUGACUGCAACUUCAGCUUGCAGAAAGUCAAGCAGGCUUGUUCUCAGUGUUCUCUUGAACAACGUCACAGGUGACAGCUCUUGCUGUACGUGUGCCAUUUAGUCAUAAAUCCAGAUCAGAGUUUGACUGCAUCUUCCUUCAUCGAUAUUAUCUCCCAGGUGUCUCUUUUCCCAAUAUCUGAGGGACAAAUGGCAUCAGCAGUUAGAUGUCUAAACUUUUGGUCAUCAUUCUUUGGCCAGUUAUCAGACACUACACACCAAUAACUGUACCUAAUGACAGUGGAUUCACUACACGUGGCCUGCUUUGCAGCUGCAGUAUCCUGCAGUCAUGCCAUCUCAAAGAACAUGUGAAUACAUGAAUGAUGCUCAUGUGAAUAACCAUCUUGAACAACUAGAUGUUUUCUCCAGCUGGCUCCACAGAUCUGCCUUUACUUUUGCUCCAGAAGCCUCAUUUUCCCUUGUUUCCAGUAUGAGCUCUGUCAUUUGGCCUGCAUUUUAGGUGCAUGCUGCAAGCCUAUUGCUUUCUUGAGUGCUGCUGGCAUUUAUCUCAGAUCUUACAAUCCUGAAAUGACUUCCAUGUGUCCUUUUUUCUUGCUUUCACACAAUCCUACCUGAUGGUGGUACAGAGCAUGAUGGGCUUUUGUGUUUAAUUUGGUUUGAAACACACUGACAUAACUCUGGCCUCUGUUCCCAUUCCUUUUGUCCAGGGCACAAGAGGCUACUUCACCCACAAGUCUCUUCCAAGCUGUGUCUGAUUUUCAAAUAAUGCAUUAGUAGCUAGCAGUAUCCUGGGAGGGCUGGAGUUUGUCUGCAAAGCUCCUUUUGGCAAGGAGGCAGGGAGCUUACAAUUGCUGCCAAUUAACACAGUCCUCCCAGCAAUAAAAAAUAUGUAACUUUUUUCACCUCUGGACUCUGAAGCAAGAAAGAUGAUUUUGGCUGCAGCACAUUAAAUGAAUUGGAGGAGAGUCAGCUACUGAACUGCUGUGGGAUAUAUACCCACCCCUUCUUCUGUUAACACAGUCUGAUAGGCUAUGGGACCGUGGCAUGUUUUAUGUCAAAAUAGUAAUGGGUACCUGCAUAUACAUAUUCACAAAGCCUGCCAGUAUGUUCAGACUUUAGACAUAUUUUAGGUAUCUGGGAGCAAGGUAAGAUCUUACAACCUGCUUCUGAAACUGCUUCUAGUGAGCAGAGAAAGAGACCACUGUGGGCUCCCAUAAUGUCACGGGGCAAUAGAGCAAUCUUUGGAUGAAAGCUGGUGACAGACUGACAGACAGGCUAUUGCUGCCUGUCCAUCUCUCUGAGCAUGAUUGACAUUCUGCACAACGCAGCCAAAAGUACAAAGCUCUUGCUCUGAGCCACUGGGUGUGCUUUCCUAGGAAGCACCUCAGUAGCGCAGUUUGUCAAAACUUCACUGGUAAAUAUUUUUGCAUUGCUUCAUGACCCAAAUAAUUACUUAAGCCCCCCUCCCUCCACCCCUCAAAGGCAUUUUAACUUCUGCCCCAUCCUGCUUGCCAAUUUUCUUCAGGCCUCAUUAUGCAAAACAGAAUUUCGCAUGCCGCAGCAUGGUGCUCCCAAACGUCUUGUACCAUCUCUUCCCCCUUUGGGAGACUCACUCCUGUCUUCCAGCUCCUCGUUUGCAGCAGCAUUGCUCGGGCCACGCUGUGGUCCUGCCAGACCAGGCUUGCCCCACCAGCAGCUUGGGGUGCAUGUGCGGUUGCAGAAAUGCCAUCAGACUGUCAUGUUGUGGGGUCUUGCCUGCCCUGUCCAGGUGUCUGGUGGUUCUAUCUUGCUCAUGUGCUAGGGAGAGCUAAAGCUGUAGCUGAAGUGGGGGUCAGGAAAGACAUCCCUAUCCCCAGCUGGAUCAGCAGGCACCAUCACUUUUCAUGUCUGCAUCAUCACUUCCAGCUGGGCAUUUUCACCUACCACAAGCUUUGCUUUGCAAAAUAUGGGGACAUGGUGGGCCUCCUGCUCUCUGGUAGCACCCCGUCUUCUUGUUUUCCUUCUACUCUUUAACACCAAAGGGCUUAAUUUUGUCACAAGGUGUUGGAGGACAGACAGACAGGAGGCCGCUCUGCGUGGGGACAGAGAGCUCUCACCAUAUAGACAGGAGCCGUGCUGAGCCCCCUGUCCCCAUAUCACAGAGCAGACCCAGGCUCGUUUUAUUCACUGGCAGUGACGCAGGCUCCCAGCUCCCCAGCUGCUGCACGUGUGUUGGGAACGGGUCUGGGUGCAGUACUCCAGACUCGUCCUUCCCUUCCUGAAUUCCCACGGGCCCCCAUCUGAGCCAGGACUCCCCCUUCCCAUAGUAGCAUCACCAAAUUUUUAGGUUGCCUGAUACUCCUAAAUGUCACUCGUUGUUCUUUGUUGUUGAUAAUCUUUGCCAAACUCUAACUGCUUUAAGCUGAAAUUGUCCUCCUGGGUAUCUCAUCCAAUAUUAAUGAAAAUAUUUAGCCAUUUCCAGGAAUGAGGAGGGACAAACAUAAUAAUGCUUUACCCUGGUUAAGAACGCACAACUUUUCCUUGAGAAUUUCUCAUGUUGUUUUUGCACCUUGGCAUGAGAUGUGUCAGGGAAGUGUCUUUUCCUCUUCUGUGAAUAUCUACCAAAACUCAGCCAGUUUAUAAACCUUCUAACAAGUAGUCCCCAUGUAUACAAUGAGCUCGAUUUCCUAUGGGUUUGCAUGUUGCCACUGACUGGUUUGAUUUCCAGGAAUGAGUAAGUGCCAGCUGAAGGCUUUUUUGUGGCAGGAACAUUUUGAAAACCACUAGCCACUUUUUCCACAGUUUGGGAAUUUAUUGUGUCUCUUUCCUCUCCCUACUCCCUUAUUUUUGUAAAUUCACUAAUGUCUGUGGGGCACUUCUGUGCUAGUGGCAGGAGCGUCAUAGGAAAGCCCCAAGGAAAAGGAAUCCUGAGUCCAGAGCAGGGUUUGAAUAGGGAGUUAUAAAUGAAGCAGGGGGCUACACACGUGGAGUAAAUGAGUUAUAAAAUGGCAAUAUGGGGGAUCCUCCACUCUUCCUUUGGGGUCCUGUGGAAGUGGGUAUGGAUGCAUCAUUGAAAAGGGACUCCUAAUGCAUAUAAGUGCAAAUAAGGAAAUAAGGGAAA